rnacentral:rRNA from 1 species
AACUUUCAACAAUGGAUCUCUUGGCUCUGGCAUCGAUGAAGAACGCAGCGAAAUGCGAUAAGUAGUGUGAAUUGCAGAAUUCAGUGAAUCAUCGAAUCUUUGAACGCACAUUGCGCCCCUCGGUAUUCCGUGGGGCAUGCCUGUUCGAGCGUCAUCUACACCCUCA